AUUGAACGCUGGCGGCGUGCCUAACACAUGCAAGUCGAGCGGUAAGGCCCUUUCGGGGGUACACGAGCGGCGAACGGGUGAGUAACACGUGGGUGACCUGCCCUCAGCUCUGGGAUAAGCCCGGGAAACUGGGUCUAAUACCGGAUAUGACUUCAUGACGCAUGUUGUGGAGUGGAAAGCCUUGUGCGGCUGAGGAUGGG
rnacentral:rRNA from 1 species